GUCAUGAUGAUGGGUGGAGUAGACCUUCUUCCUCAGCUGAGUCACAAAGCAUCAAAACCUGGAGCAUCUGGGGGCUGGAGGGGAAGUGACAUGGCACCCACCCAUUGCUGAAGAGCCUCCAAGCUCCCUCUCCUGUCUCCUGGAUCUGAGCAUUUAGCUGGGACAACGUCCUUCUUAACCUGCUUCUGCCAUGAGCUCCAGUCUCUUUAGUGUCAUCUUGUGUCUCCUGGGGGCAGUUUCCCUGGAUGCUGCCGUUGUCAUCCAGAAGCCAAGAUACCGUAUCACACAAGCAGGACACGAGAUGACUCUGGAGUGCUCCCAGCAUAUGAACCAUUUUGUCAUGUACUGGUAUCGACAAGACCCAGGGCAGGGGCUGCGACUGGUUUAUUAUUCUGGCAGUGUGAAGAGCACUGACAAAGGAGAUGUCUCAGAAGGGUACAGCGUCUCCUGAGAAGAGGUCGAGCAUUUCCCCCUAAUCCUGAAGUCAGCCAGCAUUAACCCAGACCUCUCUGUACUUCCUCACCAGCAGUGAUACACACACCACUGUGCUGCCAGCUGCCAUCUGCACACACACAAAAAAAAAGACAGCCAUAAGCCCAAGGCACUGUCCUACUUAGGAGCAAAAAAAAAAAAAAAAAAAAAAAAGACUGAAAGGAGGUCUUCCUGGAAUUUCUAGUUGUAGCAGUGAGACCUCAGCCUGAGGGUCCUUAUCCAUCAUGAGUCGAGGUUCACCAUUGGCAGAUAUAAACCACACUUAAUGUUCUUCGGGAAAUCAGUGAUAUUGUAGUGAAUAAUACAGAGAAAGAGCACCAUA